rnacentral:rRNA from 1 species
UACGGAGGGGGCAAGCGUUGUUCGGAAUUACUGGGCGUAAAGGGCGCGCAGGCGGCUGCUCAAGUCAGGCGUGAAAGGCCUGGGCUCAACCCGGGAAUUGCGCUUGAGACUGGGCUGGCUUGAGUGCGGGAGAGGAUGGUGGAAUUCCCAGUGUAGAGGUGAAAUUCGUAGAUAUUGGGAAGAACACCGGUGGCGAAGGCGG